GCACUCCCGCAGCAGGCCACAUUGUGAAGCCGACAAGUUGUCGCACCACAUGGGAACCACUGCAGCUGCGGCUUCAGCUGCCUCUGUCCAGGAAUGUGGGUCACAGCAGCUUGAACCUAGCGACAGGCCAUCUGGUGCUGGUGACGCGGAAGCUUCUCAGCCCUCGGGUAAGAUAGUACUUCAUGUACAGGGCCAGUUUUUUCAUGUUUGCCAUCCUCAUAUAUGACUGUUGUUCAGUCUUAAUAUUCCUUGAAAGUAAAAAAUUGUCCUCCACCUUACGCAGCACAAGGCUACAAAUUUCUCUGU